rnacentral:rRNA from 1 species
CCUACGGGUGACUGCAGUGGGGAAUAUUGGGCAAUGGGCGCAAGCCUGACCCAGCAACGCCGCGUGAAGGAAGAAGGCUUUCGGGUUGUAAACUUCUUUUCUCAGGGACGAAGCAAGUGACGGUACCUGAGGAAUAAGCCACGGCUAACUACUUGCAAGCAGCCGCGUUACUACGUAGAUGGCAAGCGUUAUCCGGAUUUACUGGUGGUAAAGGGCUUGUAGUCGGGAAAGAAAGUCAGAUGUGAAACCAUGGGCUAAACCUGUGGCCUGCAUUUGAAACUGUUUUUCUUGAGUACUGGAGAGGCAGACGGAAUUCCUAGGGUAUCGGUGAAAUGCGUAGAUAUUAGGAGGAACACCAGUGGCGAAGGCGGUCUGCUGGACAGCAACUGACGCUGAGGCGCGAAAGCGUGGGGAGCAAACAGGAGUAGAUACCCGUGUAGUC